rnacentral:rRNA from 1 species
GAUGAACGCUGGCGGCGUGCCUAAUACAUGCAAGUCGAGCGAACAGACGAGGAGCUUGCUCCUCUGACGUUAGCGGCGGACGGGUGAGUAACACGUGGAUAACCUACCUAUAAGACUGGGAUAACUUCGGGAAACCGGAGCUAAUACCGGAUAACAUGUUGAACCGCAUGGUUCAACAGUGAAAGACGGUCUUGCUGUCACUUAUAGAUGGAUCCGCGCCGCAUUAGCUAGUUGGUAAGGUAACGGCUUACCAAGGCAACGAUGCGUAGCCGACCUGAGAGGGGGAUCGGCCACACUGGAACUGAGACACGGUCCAGACUCCUACGGGAGGCAGCAGUAGGGAAUCUUCCGCAAUGGGCGAAAGCCUGACGGAGCAACGCCGCGUGAGUGAAGAAGGUCUUCGGAUCGUAAAACUCUGUUAUUAGGGAAGAACAAAUGUGUAAGUAACUAUGCACGUCUUGACGGUACCUAAUCAGAAAGCCACGGCUAACUACGU